GGAGCCCAAGCUGCGAGGGACGUGCUACGUCUGGUAGACGCCACAUUACCCACACUCACAGGGCUUCUUAACAGGGCAGACAAGAAGGACGUCCGUGCCUGUGUGGUGAGGCUGGUGGUGUCCUUCCUCCUGACCGAUGACAAACCUGUUGUCCUGCAGCUGCUGCAGUAUAAAGACUUGAUGAGGAGCAUCUUUAAGAACCUGCCAGGCGACCACCUGUCCACCGUCCAGCUCCUCCUGACUACUCUGAGGGACAUGGUGGUGAGAAGUGAGUUUGUGUCCAAAACUGCGAAGAUUCACCUCUUCACAAACCAGGCGCUGCACCAGCUGGCUCUGCUUUAUAACUGGACUGGUCGGGUGGACGUUUCCGUCAGCGAGGGGACUCAGG